UCACCUCCAAAGGCAAUUCUCCCGACCAAAAAACUGAAGCAGGCCAGAACUUUCAGGACACUUUGCGACGGCCAAUCAAUUUUAGUGUGGAAACCCGUGUCGGCCAAGCAAUUUUAGUGUGGAAACUUCAGGGCCCCGUUCAGAUUCUCAAACAGUCUUACCUCACCCAUUACGUCAGCCCAAACAAACCCCCCACUCUGCUACUAUAAAUCACACCAUCUGCAGUCCCAUUCUUCAUUUCCUCUCUUAGAGUACUAUCAUUCAUUCUCUUAGCUUCACNNNN
rnacentral:lncRNA from 1 species